AUCCAACUGACGAGCUCCAAAUAUGACGAAACGAGCGUUUUGGAU
rnacentral:hammerhead_ribozyme from 1 species